UACAGAGGUCUCAAGCGUUGUUCGGAUUCAUUGGGCGUAAAGGGUGCGUAGGUGGCGAGGCAAGUCGGGUGUGAAAGCCCUGGGCUCAACCCAGGAAGUGCACUCGAUACUGCCUAGCUAGAGUCCCGGAGAGGUUGGUGGAACUCUCGGUGUAGAGGUGAAAUUCGUAGAUAUCGAGAAGAACACCGGUGGCGAAGGCGGCCAACUGGACGGUGACUGACACUGAGACGCGAAAGCGUGGGGAGCAAACAGG
rnacentral:rRNA from 1 species